AGUGAACGCUGGCGGUAGGCCUAACACAUGCAAGUCGAACGGCAGCACAGUAAGAGCUUGCUCUUACGGGUGGCGAGUGGCGGACGGGUGAGGAAUACAUCGGAAUCUACUUUUUCGUGGAGGAUAACGUAGGGAAACUUACGCUGAUACCGCAUACGACCUACGGGUGAAAGCAGGGGAUCUUCGGACCUCGCGCGAUUGAAUGAGCCGAUGUCGGAUUAGCUAGUUGGCGGGGUAAAGGCCCACCAAGGCGACGAUCCGUAGCUGGUCUGAGAGGAUGAUCAGCCACACUGGAACUGAGACACGGUCCAGACUCCUACGGGAGGCAGCAGUGGGGAAUAUUGGACAAUGGGCGCAAGCCUGACCCAGCCAUACCGCGUGGGUGAAGAAGGCCUUCGGGUUGUAAAGCCCUUUUGUUGGGAAAGAAAAGCAGCAGGUUAAUACCCCGCUGUUCUGACGGUACCCAAAGAAUAAGCACCGGCUAACUUCGUG
rnacentral:rRNA from 1 species